GAUUAACGCUGGCAGCGUGCCUAAUACAUGCAAGUCGAGCGAAUGGAUUAAGAGCUUGCUCUUAUGAAGUUAGCGGCGGACGGGUGAGUAACACGUGGGUAACCUGCCCAUAAGACUGGGAUAACUCCGGGAAACCGGGGCUAAUACCGGAUAACAUUUUGAACCGCAUGGUUCGAAAUUGAAAGGCGGCUUCGGCUGUCACUUAUGGAUGGACCCGCGUCGCAUUAGCUAGUUGGUGAGGUAACGGCUCACCAAGGCAACGAUGCGUAGCCGACCUGAGAGGGUGAUCGGCCACACUGGGACUGAGACACGGCCCAGACUCCUACGGGAGGCAGCAGUAGGGAAUCUUCCGCAAUGGACGAAAGUCUGACGGAGCAACGCCGCGUGAGUGAUGAAGGCUUUCGGGUCGUAAAACUCUGUUGUUAGGAAAGAACAAGUGCUAGUUGAAUAAGCUGGCACCUUGACGGUACCUAACCAGAAAGCCACGGCUAACUACGUGCCAGCCGCCGCCGUAA
rnacentral:rRNA from 1 species